GUCCUGGCCGUAACGAUGUCCACUAGAUGGCGGCGGCUCUGACGUCGUCGCGAUCGCAGCAAAGUGCUAAGUGGACCGCCUGGGAAGUACGGUCGCAAGGCUAAACUCAAAGGAAUUGACGGGGGCUCACACAAGCGGUGGAGCAUGUGGUUCAAUUCGAAGCAACGCGCAGAACCUUACCUGGGCUUGACAUACCCGGAUUAUCCCCAUGAAAGUGGGUAGGCCCCGCAAGGGGACAACGGGACAGGUGUUGCAUGGCUGUCGU
rnacentral:rRNA from 1 species